AGAGUUGAUCCUGGCUAGGACGAACGCUGGCGGCGUGCCUAACACAUGCAAGUCGAACGGGGAUGACUGGAACACUUCGGUGGGAAGGUCAUUCUAGUGGCGGACGGGUGAGUAACGCGUGAGUAACCUGCCUCGAACUGGGGGAUAACAGCGAGAAAUCGUUGCUAAUACCGCAUAAGACCACAUGGCCGCAUGGCCAAGGGGUCAAAGAUUUUAUCGGUUUGAGAUGGACUCGCGUCUGAUUAGCUAGUUGGUGGGGUAACGGCCUACCAAGGCAGCGAUCAGUAGCCGAGCUGAGAGGCUGAUCGGCCACACUGGGACUGAGACACGGCCCAGACUCCUACGGGAGGCAGCAGUGGGGAAUAUUGGGCAAAUGGGGGAAACCCUGACCCAGCAACGCCGCGUGAAGGAAGAAGGUUUUCGGAUUGUAAACUUCUGUCCUUGGGGACGAAACAAAUGACGGUACCCAAGGAGGAAGCCCCGGCUAACUACGUGCCAGCAGCCGC
rnacentral:rRNA from 1 species